GGCACUAUAGUGUAGUGGUUAGCACGUCUGCUUUACACUUACAAGGUCCUGGGUUCGUGCCCUAGGUGGAGCCA
rfam:Pteropus alecto contig51354, whole genome shotgun sequence.